UAUUCUGCAGUUUAAGUGUCUGUGAGUGUGUGGAGGGGACAGUCUGCGGUCCCAGUGUGUGUUUGUAAUUUGCAGUUAUGGUGUGGUGGGGCAGACUGCAGUCCCAGUGUGUGUGUGUAUGUACAGUCUGCAGUCCCAGUGUGUGUGCAGGGGCAUUUUAUUUAUAUAUGACACACACACACGCCCCCCACCCUACCAAAUCCUGUGUUUGCCCCUGCAGUGGACGAUGAGGGUGCAGCUACAGGAGCUCGGAGUUGUUGCACUGCUGUUCGGGAUUUUUCUGACAAAUACAGAAUGUACAGUAAAUGUUUAUUUUGGAUGCAGUUACCAUUUCAGCAGACGGGAUGCCGGUGGUCAUGUGACUGGCGCCAUAAUCCCGACACCACUCGGAAUCCUGGUGCCGACAUCACAAAGGAGAAAAAAGAAAGCACAUACAAAUAUCAAAAACAACAAGUGACAAACUCUGGUGUGCAAUCAAAGAAUACUUUUUACUCCGCCUUACAACUUGUGAUAAUGUAUCUUGAAUCACUGUUUUAAUUACUCUGUCAGCAGUGCACAUAUCUUAUAACGAAGCAAGUCAUGGCACCUGUUAGACUUGUUAGUUUAGAUGAGGUACAGACAAAGAUUUUUGCUAUCUGACCAGUUUGAAAACAGCCUGAUAGAGCCAGUUUUAUGUGCUGUGUGAUAAUGGGCAGCAGAAACUGGAACAAACAUACUGUAGGACAGUACUUGAAUGAACUCAUAAUGCCAAAAAAGUAAAAAAUUAAAAAUAAUAAAUUUACAUGCCUAGUUACCCCAAAUGUACUACCUUAUUUUAGUUGCAGCAUUUUAGUGUUUGUUUUCAAAUUACCAAAAAUUUGAAAAUAGAGGCAGCCAUUAUGUUUGACUACAGACCUCAGUGGAUGGUUAACUGUAACAUUAUUUAGAUACACUUGAUGCGCACAAAGCAGGAACAUAAGCUCCGUGCACAUCCUAAGUGAUGGGCCACACAUAGCGGCCAAGCG